UCAAGCUAGAAAGAGCGCAAGGGGAAUGCCUUGGCAUCAGGAGCCGAAGAAGGACGUGACAAGCUGCGAAAAGCCACGGGGAGGAGCAAAUAUCCAUUGAUCCGUGGAUAUCCGAAUGGGGAAACCCGGCACGGCAAUACCGUGUCAACGUGCUGUGAAUAAAAUAGCAGUACGUGGGGAACCGCCUGAACUGAAACAUCUAAGUAGGGCGAGGAAAAGACAUCAACCGAGAUUCCGCUAGUAGUGGCGAGCGAACGCGGAAGAGGCCAAACCGGAGAGAGCAAUCUUUCCGGGGUUUGGACAGCAAUGUGUAGUCAUGGAAUUAGCCGAACACGUUGGGAAGCGUGGCAAUAUAGGGUGAUAGCCCCGUAGGUGAAAAGGAAGUGGCGCUAGCUGUAUCCAGAGUACCACAGGACACGUGAAACCCUGUGGGAAUAAGGGGGGACCAUCCUCCAAGCCUAAAUACUACUCAGUGACCGAUAGAGAAGCAGUACCGUGAGGGAAAGGUGAAAAGGACCCCGGGAGGGGAGUGAAAGAGAACCUGAAACCUUGUGCCUACAAGCACCGAGAGCACGUUAAUGUGUAAUCGGGUACUUUUUGUAGAACGGUCCGGCGAGUUAAUGUAAGUAGCAAGCUUAAGGUACUGGAGUACUGGAGGCGCAGCGAGAGCGAGUCUGAAUAGGGCGAAUUAAGUUACUUGCAUUAGACCCGAAACCGGGUGACCUAUCCAUGAGCAGGCUGAAGCGGUGGUAAGACACCGUGGAGGGCCGCACCCACGUCCGUUGAAAAGGCCGGGGAUGACUUGUGGAUAGCGGAGAAAUUCCAAUCGAACUCGGAUAUAGCUGGUUCUCCCCGAAAUAGCUUUAGGGCUAGCGUUAUGAUAGAUUACCGGAGGUAAAGCACUGAAUGGGCUAGGGGCCGCGAGGUUACUGAACCCUAUCAAACUCAGAAUGCCGGAUAAUUGUUUCAUGGCAGUCAGACUACGUGAGAUAAGUCUCGUGGUCAAAAGGGAAACAGCCCAGAUCCGCAGCUAAGGUCCCAAAUAGAUGCUAAGUGGAAAAUGAUGUGAAACUGCGAAAACAACCAGGAUGUUGGCUUAGAAGCAGCCACUCAUUCAAAGAGUGCGUAAUAGCUCACUGGUCGAGUGGUUUUGCGCAGAAAAUGUAACGGGGCUAAGCAUCUAACCGAAGCUCGGGCAGUAUUUGAUACUGGGUAGGGGAGCGUUGUGUACGGAACGAAGUCAGAGCGGAAGCACUGGUGGACUUUACACAAGUGAGAAUGCCGGAAUAAGUAGCGAGAAUUAUGUGAGAAUCAUAAUGGCCGAAAAUCUAAGGUUUCUUGGGGAAGGUUCGUCCGCCCAAGGUAAGCCGGGAGCUAAGGCGAGGCCGAAAGGCGUAGUCGAUGCACAUACGGUAGAAAUUCCGUAACCACCGAACUUUAAGCAUAAGGGACGCUUUCAUUAAGGUUAUCCCGGGCGAUGGUAGCCCCGGGCGUAAGGGACCGAAAACUAGUAGGGAAGUAACUGGCGUGAGAGACGAGAAAAGCUUAUGUGUAUACUAAGGUGCCCGUACCGCAAACCGACACAGGUAGAUGGGAUGAGUAUUCUAAGGCCAACGGGAGAAGGGUUGUUAAGGAACUCGGCAAAUUGGCCCCGUAACUUCGGGAUAAGGGGCGCCUGCGAGAGCAGGCCGCAGUGAAAAGGCCCAAGCGACUGUUUAGCAAAAACACAGCUCUCUGCUAAAUCGAAAGAUGACGUAUAGGGGGUGACGCCUGCCCGGUGCUGGAAGGUUAAGGGGAGUGCUUAGCGCAAGCGAAGGUGCGAACUUAAGCCCCAGUAAACGGCGGCCGUAACUAUAACGGUCCUAAGGUAGCGAAAUUCCUUGUCAGGUAAGUUCUGACCCGCACGAAUGGCGUAACGAUUUGGGCACUGUCUCAACAGCCCGCCCGGCGAAAUUGUAGUACCGGUGAAGAUGCCGGUUACCCGCAACUAGACGGAAAGACCCCAUGGAGCUUCACUGUAGCUUGAUAUUGGAUUUCGGUAUUCCAUGUACAGGAUAGGUGGGAGACUAGGAAGCACGGGCGCCAGCUUGUGUGGAGUCAACCUUGGGAUACCACUCUUGGGAUACUGGAAUUCUAACCUGCGGCCCUGAAUCGGGUCGGGGGACACUGUCAGGUGGGCAGUUUGACUGGGGCGGUCGCCUCCUAAAAGGUAACGGAGGCGCUCAAAGGUUCGUUCAGCACGGACGGAAAUCGUGCAUUGAGUGUAAACGCAUAAACGAGCCUAACUGCGAGAAUGACGGUUCGAGCAGUAACGAAAGUUGGAGUUAGUGAUCCGGCGGUAUGUGAAUGGAAAUGCCGUCGCUCAACGGAUAAAAGCUACCCUGGGGAUAACAGGCUGAUCUCCCCCAAGAGUCCACAUCGACGGGGAGGUUUGGCACCUCGAUGUCGGCUCAUCACAUCCUGGGGCUGAAUUCGGUCCCAAGGGUUCGGCUGUUCGCCGAUUAAAGUGGUACGCGAGCUGGGUUCAGAACGUCGUGAGACAGUUCGGUCCCUAUCUGUUGCGGGCGUAGGAAUAUUGAGAGGAGCUGCCCUUAGUACGAGAGGACCGGGGUGGACGUACCGCUGGUGCACCAGUUGUUCCGCCAGGAGCAUAGCUGGGUAGCUAAGUACGGACGAGAUAAACGCUGAAGGCAUCUAAGCGUGAAACUUCCCUCGAGAUAAGUAUUCCCACUCUUCGGAGGUAAGGCCCCACGUAGACUAUGUGGUUGAUAGGUCAGGAGUGGAAGUGCAGUAAUGUAUGGAGCGGACUGAUACUAAUAGGCCGAGGGCUUGACCUA
rnacentral:rRNA from 1 species